rnacentral:rRNA from 1 species
AGAGAGAGACAUGCGCGCAUAUCAAUAAGCGGAGGAAAAGAAACUAACAAGGAUUCCCUUAGUAACGGCGAGUGAAGCGGGAAGAGCUCAAAUUUGAAAUCUUCAAGGUUUUACCUUGACGAAUUGUAGUUUAAAGAAGUGUUUUCUGCUGAAGUUUUGGUAAAAGUUCUUUGGAAUAGGACAUCAUAGAGGGUGAGAAUCCCGUAUUUGACCAUUAUUUUCAGCUUUGUGAUACACUUUCAAAGAGUCGGAUUGUUUGGGAAUGCAGUCCAAAAUGGGUGGUAAAUUUCAUCUAAAGCUAAAUAUUGGCGAGAGACCGAUAGCGAACAAGUACCGUGAGGGAAAGAUGAAAAGAACUUUGAAAAGAGAGUUAAACAGUACGUGAAAUUGUCAAAAGGGAAGCGUUUGACACCAGUGUUGUUUUCUCGAAAAUCAAUUAAAAAUGGCUCGAUUUUGUAUUGCUUGAGACCUUAAAAGCUCACUGUACAUUUUUCGUGUCUUUUUUAAUGCACUUUUCGUUUAACAAGUCAACAUCAGUUUCUUUUGUUGUAAAAGGGUCAUUGGAAGGUGGCUUUCUUUUCGGAGAAAGUGUCUAUAGCCUUUGGCCUCUGCAAUCGGAGAGACUGAGGUCUGCAGCGUAGACUCUUCGGGGUUAGAUACAUUUGUGCUAAGUUAUAGCUUUUUAUAGACAACUUGUUGGACUAUAACUAGUCUUGUAGCUUACUCGCUUAUGCUAUUUUACCUACGCUUAGGAUGUUGAAGUCAUCGUAUCGCGC